CCCAUUUACUUAUUUGUUUAUCUCUGCUUGAUACGUAACAAUUACAGAAUUGUUUUCUAACAACAAUCGUGGUAUUGGGAAUUAAGCGGGAUUUUCUAAUGAAUGGUUAAGAUGUGAAACGAACGCCUUCGCAACCAACAUAUAAACUAAUGACGAAUGAGCUAAACCAUAUAUAAAUGUCUGACAUUGUAAAAAAAAAUUGUAUGACCUUAAUAGAUAUGUAUAUAAUAUAGCAAGUUCGCUAUGUCUAUAUGAAGACCUUCUUAAUCUGAAAUUGAAUAAUGUCUAGGAAAAUAGCUUUAAAUAUACAUAUAUUAAUUUUGGCAACAUUAAUUUGCUGGCAUGUAGAAGGAAGGCAUAUAUCAGAUGUAAUUACUUUACAUAAAAGACAAAUACAUGGAACGAAAUUCCCUUUCAGAUGUCCACAGGGUGUUAGUCACCAUGACUGUUACGAAAGUAUGCAAAAUCUGAUGUCUGUUUGGAUACGUAGGCUUAUGACUCACCCAGAGAGUUAAGCUGACAAUAGAACUUAAAAAGGAUUAUCAAACAAAGAUAUUGUCGCUUAGAACCGACCUAAACAAAGUGAUUUUGAUUAAAUCAUUCUUUACAGCUUUGUCUUGGAGUUUUUGGGAUUCCAGCAGUAUUACAGAAGUUUAAUUAAAUCGUACAAACAUGUGCUUAUAAGCACUUAUACAACUGAUGUAUAGCGAGAAGUAUGAAAAAUACGACCGCACGUGUAAAUUAUAAAAUUACGACCACACGUGUAAAUUAUUAUAGUACGAUCACACGUGUUAUAUAUUUACUAAUGAUAUAGCAUGGCUGUGAUAUAUGAUUUGUUUCUUGCUAAUCAAUUUUCAGAUAGAUCUCUGGCAACGUCUGAACAUGAUUAUUGGUAGAAUUAUUGUAGAAAAUUUUAUAGAAAACAUUUUCAAAAUGACUUUGAAAUAAGCUUAACAAGCAUUAACUGAGAUUGUAUUUUCAGAACUAAUUUUAAUUGUUAAUACUGUUGAUACAUGAAGAAGACUUCAUAAGUAUGAUUUACUUGUGUCUCAUCUACUUUGCUUCAAUUUAGCUAAUAAAAUAUGUUUAAACUACUAG